rnacentral:lncRNA from 10 species
UUCUGCCUCAGCCACCCGAAUAGUAGCUGAGACUACAGGUGCAUGCCAUCAUGCCUCGCUAAUUUUCGUAUUUUUAGUAGAGACGGAGUUUCACCAUGUUGGCCGGGCUACUCUCAAACAUCUGACCUCAAGUGAUCCACCCACCUCGGCCUCCAAAAGUGAUGGGAUUACAGGUGUGAGCCACUGCACCCGGCCUGGAACUCUUCCAUGAAGGGGAAGAAAAAGAUAAAACCAAACACAGCCCAGAAAUUCUGGCAUACAAAUCAGAAAAGAACUACUUCUUAGCCACCUGUGCCAGG